UGCAGAGUCUUCAUCACAGUCGGGUGAGAUGCUUGGGGUUCUGUGCUAGAAAUCCCAAGCCUACUCCCAUGAACUCCAGUAGAGAAUCCUAAAUAUCAAACUACAGAUGCCAGGGUUUUGUGGGAUGUGUAGUCCCUCUUCUGCCAGGUGUCUCCUCAGAAUGAAGCCUCUCUCAGACUUUACAAUCUAUUGAUGAAUAUAAAUCCGAAGCUGUUUGGGGUCUGGGCCCUGAAAGAGAAGGAACGGGGGAGAGAGAAAAGGAGGAGAGUGGAAGGAAAGAAUGAAUAAAGGAGGAGAGUGGAAGGAAGGCCAGAGCAUCCCUGGGAAAGAUGUCUACAUUUCUCAAAGGCUGGAAAGCCCACCUCCCCCAGUGUCAUCACUCAUCCGAUAAACUCUGAGACCUGUUACGUUAGUGGUGAAAUUUCUGCAACCAAUCUUUGUCAUCAAGGAGCGAAGGAGAUCAGAAGGGGGGAAAAGGAGGCUGACAGAGGCAAAAAAGGAAGAGCAACCCCGUCAGGAUCAGUCAGCACUGUCACACACUUGGAUUGGCCUUCAUGCACUGAUUUAAUUGUAUCUGUGAACUGCCAUGCACCAAUAAUGAGGCUUUAAUAAAUGUGCUGCAAGUC